CUCUGAGGUCUGGAGGAAGAAGCCAGUCUGAUGGCGGUCAAGUUAUUUAAAUGUCAGCUGGGUGUGAAACUGUUGCUGUUGUUUAAUAAUCUCAUCAUCACAAACGGCCACCUUCCUGUUUAGCCCCUCUUUAUCUACAGAUGUGACUUCCUGUCUGGCCGCUCAGAACAGGAAAUGACAUGCACGCAAACUGGACACCAAGUCCCCACACAGGCGCCGGGGGCCCUCUUGGGGCCCCAAGGUAAUCGAUAGCUGUGAUGUCCCAGCUGUCCUCGGAGCUGCUUCGUGAUGCCUUGAGGGACUGUCGGUUUUCUCACCUGUCGGGGCUCAAUCUGUAAGCUGAACCCUUCUGAGCUGCUUCCUGUCUGCGUCAAAAUAAAAGUCCCUCAGUAGUCCAAGAAGAGUGAACUGAUGCACACAUGUUGUAUCAUGUUGGACAAAAUCACUAAAGAAAGAUCCAAAGAAACGUGAAGUGCAGAGCCACCUAAUCAGUAAAAGUUUUUUUUCCCCUGAUAUGCCACGGCCCCUUUUGCCGUUUAUGUGGUAUUUCUGGUGACCCUGAAAUGCCACAGAUUCACCCAGGAACCUGCCGUUGUUUGUGUGGGAUUUCUGGUCUCAAUCUAACGUUACGAUGCCACGACAUCUGCCGCUGA